rnacentral:rRNA from 1 species
AUUGAACGCUGGCGGAAUGCUUUACACAUGCAAGUCGAACGGCAGCACGGACUUCGGUCUGGUGGCGAGUGGCGAACGGGUGAGUAAUGUAUCGGAAUGUGCCCAGUCGUGGGGGAUAACGUAGUGAAAAUUACGCUAAUACCGCAUACGAUCUAUGGAUGAAAGCGGGGGAUCGCAAGACCUCGCGCGAUUGGAGCGGCCGAUAUCAGAUUAAGUAGUUGGUGGGGUAAAGGCCCACCAAGCCAACGAUCUGUAGCUGGUCUGAGAGGACGACCGGCCACACUGGAACUGACACGGUCCAGACUCCUACGGGAGGCAGCAGUGGGGAAUUUUGGACAAUGGGCGAAAGCCUGAUCCAGCCAUUCCGCGUGCAGGAUGAAGGCCCUCGGGUUGUAAACUGCUUUUGUACAGAACGAAAAGGUUUCUACUAAUACUAGGAGCUCAUGACGGUACUGUAAGAAUAAGCACCGGCUAACUACGUGCCAGCCGCCGCUGUAA